rnacentral:rRNA from 1 species
UACGAAGGGGGCUAGCGUUGUUCGGAAUUACUGGGCGUAAAGCGCACGUAGGCGGAUAUUUAAGUCAGGGGUGAAAUCCCGGGGCUCAACCCCGGAACUGCCUUUGAUACUGGGUAUCUAGAGUCCAGAAGAGGUGAGUGGAAUUCCGAGUGUAGAGGUGAAAAUUCGUAGAUAUUCGGAGGAACACCAGUGGCGAAGGCGGCUCACUGGUCUGGUACUGACGCUGAGGUGCGAAAGCGUGGGGAGCAAACAGGG